UACGUAGGGCGCAAGCGUUAUCCGGAAUUAUUGGGCGUAAAGAGCUCGUAGGCGGUUUGUCGCGUCUGCCGUGAAAGUCCGGGGCUCAACUCCGGAUCUGCGGUGGGUACGGGCAGACUAGAGUGAUGUAGGGGAGACUGGAAUUCCUGGUGUAGCGGUGAAAUGCGCAGAUAUCAGGAGGAACACCGAUGGCGAAGGCAGGUCUCUGGGUCGGUACUGACGCUGAGGCGCGAAAGCGUGGGGAGCAAACAGG
rnacentral:rRNA from 1 species